AGUGAACGCUGGCGGUAGGCCUAACACAUGCAAGUCGAACGGCAGCACAGUAAGAGCUUGCUCUUACGGGUGGCGAGUGGCGGACGGGUGAGGAAUACAUCGGAAUCUACUUUUUCGUGGGGGAUAACGUAGGGAAACUUACGCUAAUACCGCAUACGACCUACGGGUGAAAGCAGGGGAUCUUCGGACCUUGCGCGAUUGAAUGAGCCGAUGUCGGAUUAGCUAGUUGGCAGGGUAAAGGCCCACCAAGGCGACGAUCCGUAGCUGGUCUGAGAGGAUGAUCAGCCACACUGGAACUGAGACACGGUCCAGACUCCUACGGGAGGCAGCAGUGGGGAAUAUUGGACAAAGGGCGCAAGCCUGAUCCAGCCAUACCGCGUGGGUGAAGAAGGCCUUCGGGUUGUAAAGCCCUUUUGUUGGGAAAGAAAAGCAGCAGGUUAAUACCCCGCUGUUCUGACGGUACCCAAAGAAUAAGCACCGGCUAACUUCGUG
rnacentral:rRNA from 1 species